CUUUACUCCUUUCUAAACCCUAAACUCGUUUCAUUCACAUCCGCCCCCAUUCUUCUUCUUCUUCUCUCUCAAGGCGGUGUCUGCAUACGUCUCAUGGCGACGAUUUCACCGGCGAUUUCACUAGAUCGACGGAUUUCACCGACGAUUUCACUUCUCAAGUACCGUCUUUUUAACCUUAUCGGCAUUUUUUUGCUUGUUAUUUGACUUAGAUCUGUGAAUUUCACUAGAUCGACAGAUUUCAUCGGCGAUGUCACUAGAUCGACGGAUUUCAUCGACGAUUUCACUUUUCAGGGUUUCUUUCUCCGGCGAUUCCGACAUCAGAUCUACUGGGUUCAACUUCUUGGAACAUUGCUUACUGCAAGUGCACAUGUCAUGGCUGUGGUGAUAGGGUCCGGAGUGUUGUCCUUAGCUUGGUGUUUGGCUCAGUUAGGUUGGAUCCUUGGAGUUCUUUUACUUGCAGCCUUUGCUGUCAUCACUUGGUUCUGUUUUUCUGUUUUUUCCAUAUGUGUAGUGCUUUUGGUUUUGUUUGUUUUUCAAUAAGUUGGGUUUUUGUUAAUCUUUCCGUGUCUUCAUGGCAGGUAAUUUGUAUUGUUUUUUUAUUGUUUGGUAGUAUGUACACUGAGAGAGUGAUUGAAAGUAUUGUCUCAUUAUUUGCAAAAGAUAUGUAAUUAGUUUAGCCAUAUUCAUCCUCUCUCUCAAAUUCCCCUGUCUCGGAUCUUCAUGAAUUUUGAUUAUUUGUCUUAGAUCUAUUCUCUUUAAAGAACUGGCACUAGCAUGCAAGAGGAAGUGGAUAGAUCUUGCCAUGAUGUUGUUGCAGAUAAUGCAUUCGGAGAGGAUGAAGGAGAAACAGAUACCUAUUACUUGCCAGGUAGGUGGAUUUGAAGGUAGCAAAUCUUCGAAAAAUGCUCAGAAAAGAAGGAAAAUACGCGUCUACUAACUGUCUUUUCUUUCUCUAUUCUCGAUUUACUCAGGUUUGUUUUGUAUUCUUCACUGGUAUAGUUUUAGUUUGUUAAGCUCUGUUUAGACUAACCCGGUUUUUAGGGUUUUAUGGUUUUUUCAUGGGUUGAAUACUUUUUUUUUUUUUUUUGUGAUUGUGUAUUAAUGAUGAAAAAUUCCCUGGUAAUUGGGUCUUAAUUCACUAACAAACAACUUUUCAUAUCGAUCUUAAAGUUGUAAUUGGGCUUGAGGUGGAUGUUGUUGUUGCUAGCGUUGAUUUGUCAUGAGGAGAAUCUGAGUAUGAUUGAGAAAAUCUGCAUAAUACAAGGGCUACAGUCAAGAGCACUAUUUUACCUGUAUUUUGGCACACUCAGACCAUCUUAGGAAGCAUUGAAACUUUCAUACAAGUUGCCAAAAGUGUAUCAAGGCGUUCGACCACGAUGCUAUUGUCCCAAAUACUCCCAAUGUGUAUAUCUUCAUCUGUUUAGAGAUUCCAUAUCAAAUAGAGCUUCAUGUGUUUGAGUCGGAAUGGUUAGCUUUCUUCUUGAAAGGUUUCCUUGUGAAGACAAUGAUAGUGUUGUCUUGAAAAGCUACUACUGAGAAGGAAAAGGGUAUAUUCGUCCAUUUCAUGAUUGGUCACAUCACAUGCCUCUCUUUUAUUUUGUUUUUUUUUUUAAUAAUUUAUUGCCAAGAACACAUGAGAGAACCUUGUCAUCAUAAAGAAAUCAGACAUGAAACGGACAAAAUACCCUUUUCAAGGAAACCCAGUCAUGAACCUUACGAAAAUACUUGCGUUUCUUUUAGUAUUUAUUGCCAAUAACACAGGAGAGAAUAUUGCCACUGAAUUGGGCACCAUUUGAAGUUACUUGCGCAAAUUGCAAAAGACAAAUUUUUUACCGCUUCAAACCCAAGGUGAACUGCUUGAUCACACCAUUUUGGGUCAUGCGCUUAGCCCAAGGUCUAAUUUGAGUUGUUCACAGAUCCAUGGCUGAACAAUUUACAACAAUGUCAUGCAGAUGGUUUGCCAUCCUCAUGGGUCAAUAAAAGAUUCUUUUUGUUCCACCACCAGCAAGAGAUCCAAGAUUGUUUUCCGACUUUUGUUUGGUUUACUUAUGAAUUGACUUAGAAAUUGUUGUUUGCUUUACUUAUGAAUUGAUUUUGAAAUGGUUGUUUGAUAUUGUGUUGGCUGCUUCAUUUUGUAUUA